rnacentral:miRNA from 1 species
GUUUAUGACGUCGAUAUUCGACGUCAUCAACACGAUCAACUUUGGUGCUUCUGACGUCGACGUCAUAAGUUGAUCAACUUUGGUGUUUAUGACGUCGAUAUUCGAUCAACUUAGCUGUUUAUGACGUCGAUAUUCGACGUCAUAAACAGGAUCAACUUAGGUGUUUAUGACGUGGAUAUUCGACGUCAUAAACACGAUCAAGUUUGGUGUUUGUGACGUCGAUGUUCGACGUCAUAAAC